AAUUGGUCUCCACUCAAAUUAUUAGGAAAUAAAGUUCAAAUUUGCAAAGGAUUUUUUUUCCUACCAUAUUUCUUAGGAGAAAGAUACAAAUUUGUCCGUGUUAAUAGUUGAGGUAAGAUCUAUUUUUGCUAUUAUAAACAAAAAAAAAUGGCUUCGAUUUUCCUUUAUUGCAAAAUAUAGCAUAUUCAAUUGAGACUCAGUGAUAAAAAGCGUCAAAUAAUUUGGAUAGUUAUUGCACUGGCGAAUUAAGGAGCCUCUCCGUGCCCCUAUAAGAUCUCGUAGAAGAACUUGUAUUGCAUGAAUUUUUUUUUCGAAAAUAGAAAGAGAAACUAAGGUGCAAUGCAAAUUUUGUGAAAUUGUAUACGAGCAUAAAAUCGGAGGCAAUAAAGGGGAUACGGGUUCGUUGAUGAGACAUUUAAGAAAAAAAUAUGCGGUAGAGCUAAGUCUUGCACAAGGUGGUGAGACUGUUGGUGGGCCAACACAAAGUAGAUUGAACCCAACAACCGGUGAAUUAGUUAAAAAUUAUAAUAAAACGAAGGAUCGGAAAGAAAUAGCAAAAAUGAUAGCUAUGGGUUGUUUGCCUUUCACCUUUGCUUCUCCAAAUGCUUUUAUUCAUUAUAUUCAAACAAUUUAUAAUCCUAUGUUUACAGGUAUUCCUAGAAGUACUUAUCGGAACGAUAUUUUUAGACUACAUGCACUAUAUAUUUAUUAUUUAUCUGCAUUAUUAAAAAAUAUUCCAGAUAGAGUUAUUCUAACUUCUUAUCUUGAUCGUGCUAUUAAUAAAAAUUAUUAUUUAACAAUUACUUGUCACUGGAUAAAUAGUAAUUUUGUUAUGCAAAAACGUAUUCUAGCAUUUUUGUAUGAUGAAGAUCGUAGACACACUGGAAAGUUUAUUUAUGAAUCUAUUCCUAAAGUUGCAAAAUAUUAUGGUAUUGAAAGAAAAGUUUUAUGUAUAGUUUUUGAUAAUGCAUCUAACAACAAGAUUGCUAUUGACUUGUUAAAAGUUGAACUUUCUCCACCGAUGCCCGAAAUAUUUCAUGUUAAGUGUGCUUGUUAUAUAUAUAAUUUAAUCAUAAGAGAUAGUUUUGAAUUUCUGAGCUUUAUAUUGAAAAGGUCUGGCUUGUUGUGGCUUUAUUCAAGAAAAUAAUCGAAAAAUUAGAGUGAAAGAAUUUAAAGCUAAAUAUGAACAAAAUGGACUUAGAUCGAUAUUUAUGCUUGAAAAUGUGAUACUAGAUGGAAUGCUACUUAUAAUUAUAGGAAAAAACAUUAUUUCCACCCUAAACUAUAUCCGAAAAAUUAAAGGCACACUUCAACUAUUAAAGCAACCUAAUACACACUUGAAUUACUUAAAAGUGAAUUUGUUUGCACCCUAAAACUGACGUGGCAAAAAAUAAUUAAUUAAAAUAAAAGAUGGAGCGUGGGUAAUAUAAUUAAAGCAAAAAUAAGUUACAAAAAUUAAGAUAUUCUUCCCUACCAAGCAUCAUUUUUAAUUGUGAUUGAAACUUCUAUUUUUUUGAAGUACUUUCUUCAUCAAUUUGAUGUUUCUUCUUACUCCAUUGUUGAUUUUUUAUUCUAUUUCAUCACUUAACUCACUACUAUCAAUUUCAAUAAUUCCUAUAGCCGUCAAUUCAUCACCUGCAAUCACUAAUUUCAUCAGUGCCACCAUCAAUUUCAUCAUCGACCCACCACCAUCAAUUUCCUCAUCUAACUCACCAUUAUUGAUGUAAAUACCUCAAUUAUUUUUUAUUGAUAGAAUAGUAAUGUGAGGAAUCAUUUCAUUAUCAAUUUUAUUGAGAACUAUAAAGAAUGACCGAUUUUAAUUCAUCAAAAAUUUUCAAUCCGAUGAAUUUUAUUUUUCAAUACUUUCAUCGAUUUUUUGUUGGCUAGAUUUCAACUUUCAAGUUUUUCUCGUUUCAUGUCUCUUCCAUCACUCUAAAAAGAAAAUUGUCCAUCUCGUCAAAACAUCGAUUAAGAAGGAGAAAAGAGGGGUUAAAGAUGGGUGACAAAGUUAGAAGAAAUUGAAGGUGAUGGCAAUUUUGUUGGUGGUUUAUAAAGUUAAUAGUGGUAAUUAAUUGACGAUUUGAGUUUGGCUAUGAUGAUGAUAUCCGUAUCAAUGGAGGUUUUGAGAUUGGAUAUAGAAGAAAAUGAAGAAGGAAAAAGUUUAAAUUAAAGAGAAAAAGGAAAAAGUAGGAAAAAUAAUAAAUUUAUUAUUUUUUCCGUAUUGUGAUGACGUGGUGCUGACGUGGCAGGCGCGUGUGAAACACCGCACCACAUGCAAGUGGUAUAAUGUUUUACAGGGUGUAAAAAGUUUCACUUUUAUAUAGUUUAGGUGUGUAAUAGGUCACUAUGAUAGUUUAGGUGUGACCUAGACUUUUCGAGUAUAGUUUAAGGUGGAAACAAUGACUUUUCCCUAUAAUUAUUUAAAAACCUGUCUUACUUAUAAAGUUUCUAUUAGAAUGACUUUUAAUCAAUAUUCUGGUUCUUUUCCUGAGUGUAUGCUACAUGAUUCUGAUUGGGCUGCAAUUGUUGUUCUUGUUAAAUUUUUUAAAAAAAAUUAUAUAGCUACGAUUGAAUUUUCUGGUGCUUGUUAUCCUACUGUUUGUAAUAUUUUUGCUUAUUUAGCCAACAUUUCUUGUUUACUUAACGAAUAUAAGAAUAAAGAAGGUUACAAAGAAACUAUUAUUGUUAUGAUUGCUAAAUUUUAAAAAUAUUUUUGUCCACUUCCCCCAAUUUACUUGAUUGAUGCUAUAAUAAAUUCAUGUAUGAAAUGUAAUACUAUGGCUAUGGUAGUAUAUAUUUAAUGUACACAUGUGUAUAUGUUUUCUAAAGUAGGCAAGUAGUAUAUAUGUAAUGUAUAUAUAUAUAUUGUAUGUAUGUUGGUUCAAGUAUUUUUAGUAGUAUAUAUAUUAUAUUGUACGUAUACAUUUGUAUAUAUUUUCUAUAGAUUAAAGUAGUAAAUAUUUAAUGUAUACAUGUGUAUAUGUUUUCUAAAUUAGUAGUAUAUAUGUAAUGUAUAUAUGUUGUAUGUAUAUUGUUUCAUGUAGUUUGUUAAGUAGUAUGUAAAUUAUAUUGCAUGUAUAUAUGAGUUUAUAUAUUUAUUGUAUACAUGUGUAUAUGUUUUCUAAAAUAGUAUAAUAUGUAAUGUAUAUAUGUUUUACGUUUAUUGUUUAACAUAUUUAAAAUGUAUAUAGGUGUGUAUAAUAGUUUAUAUUGGAAAAAACAUGUAAAUUCAAUUUAAUUUUAUUUUUUUUUACAUAAAGGACCGGUAACCAAUCUAUUUCUCGAAGUGGGCCGAACUGAACCGAUCCAGACCAAUUUUAACUGGUUCUAGACUAAAUGGGCCAAUCACAGGCUGUUUUUGAACUUUUUACUGUUGGCCCCUGAUCGAAUCGGCUCAUUUAAAACUAGGCCCGGACCGGCCCAUAUAUCAAUUACACUUAAUGAGUCGAUGCCGACUUGAACCGGAUCGGCCCGAUUGACAGGUAUACUUGAAAGAAGGGUUACUUGCACCUUUCCCUAUUUUGUGCUGAUUUUAACUUUUACCUCUCAUAAUUAAUUCUCUAGUGCAACAUAAAUUUAUAUUUUUCACAUUAUUAUAUUCUAUAAGUUAUGUUCCGCGCCAUUAAUGAACUUCUCUGCUAAGUAUUAGUUUGAUUUCUAGGAUAAAAUUUUUAAAAAAUAGCUUCAUUAAAAGGUAAAAAUUAAAGACUAAUCCAUUUGAACGGCAAAUCUCAUGAUUAAACUGGAAAUAAAGGUAAUUUCCAUUGUCAUAAAGGCCCUAAUAUGUGACGUUAAGAUCAAAAGUUUCAUUUUUCUCUCCACCACAAUAUCAGAACUUGUGUUUUGGCAUUUUACUCUAGCAUAUUAUUCACUUAAAAUCUACCAAGAUAGCAAAACUAUUUAAUGCCUAUAUGCAGGUCCCACGAAAAGAUAUAUUUCUAACUUUUUCAGCAUUUGAUUUAUUAAUUAAUUACUCAUGUUAUCAGGAAAAAAAAAAAGGAAAAUGAGAAGUGCAAUGAUCAAAUCUUCUGAUUUUCAGUCUCAAUUUGUAAUCAUAAAUGGGACCGCAUGAGCGGAGUUAGGGUACCUAAAUAAAGUUUAUUCAAAUUUUCUUCAUAAAAAACAUGCACUUGUUAUUUAUAUUAAAGUAGGUACAAAAAGAAUAGAGAGAAGAGAGGAGACUUCUUUAUUUCUUAUGGAUUCUUGAGGAGUUAAUUACAACAAAAAAAACCUCCUUUAUUUAUAGGGGAAAACUAAUCUUGGGUUUCUAAUUGUUAAAUAGAUAUUCACUAUGUAUAAUAAAGUAAACAUUCACUAUAUAUGGUAAUAUAUUUAUAACACUUCCCCUUGAAUGUCUAAUUGAUAGAUAAUAUGUCUCGUUAAAACCUUACUGAAAAAAAUUUAGUGGAAAAAAUCUAAUAAAGGAAAAAGAGUACACAUCUCUACCAAUACGCAUAUAGGCUGCCUCAUUAAAAACCCUAUAAGGAAAACUUAGUGGGACAAAACCUCGUAAGGAAAAUAGAGUACAACGCGUAUUAAUUCCCCCUAAUGAGAACAUCCUUGAGCCUUUGCAUUCCGAUCUUGUGCACCAUCUUCUUGAAAGUUGCAAUUGAAGGAGACUUGGUGAAUAAAUGAGCCACAUUGUCACUUGAACGAAUCUGUUGCACGUUAAUAUCACCAUUCUUUUGGAGCUCAUGCAUGUAGAAAAGCUUUGAUGAAUAGUGCUUCAUUCAAUCUUCUUUUAUGAAUCUCCCCUUAAGUUGUGUUAUGCAUGCUUCAUUAUCUCCGUAUAAAAUUAUGGGUACAUUGUCAUAUUUCACACCACUUUUUUCUCGAAGGAUAUGUAUCAUGGAUCUCAACCAUACACAUUCUCGACUUGCAUCAUGAAUAACGAUUAUCUCAAUAUGGUUCAAUGAAGUUGCUAGAUAGACUGUUUUGUAUAUGUCCAAGAUAUGACAGUACUCUCACAUAUGAACACAUAACUUAUUUGAGAUCGAGCUUUAUGCGGGUCAGAUAAGUACCUAGCAUCGGUAUAACCAACAAGAUCGGGACUACAAUCUUUAGAAUAAAUAAGUUCAUAUAUUUAUUCUCAUUUUGAUGUCUCCUAGUAGGAGCAGAACUAUACCUUGCUAACAAAUUGAUCGAAAAGACUAUAUCAGGUCUUGUGGUAUUUGCAAGAUAAAUGAGUGCACCAAUUGCACUAAGAUAUGGUACGUCAUAACCAAACUAAAUUGGUAUAUUUUUUAUUUUACCAAAUAAUCUAUUGUUUUUGAAAACUCUCCAAGAGUUUCAAUAAUAUUCAAACCAUCAAGUUUAAAUAGAUUUUCUCAUUCUUUAGGGAUUUUCCAUCAAACCAUCAAUUUUUCAGAAACUUUAUAUGCUUCAGUCAUUUUAAAUCCUUUAGGGAUUUUCAUAUAGAUUUUUGUCAAGUGACAAUAUCAAUAUGUGUGACAUCUUCAAGUGUCUGAACUGCAAAUCAAAUAAGUGUUAUGCUUACCAAGAUGCAUCCUUUCAUGUCACUCGAUAAAUAUUUCUACGUCAGCAUGCUUAAAUAAAUGUAGAAUUCGGAUCCUCGUAAUCUUUUACAAUAUUGUGUCAAUAUUGUAUCAAAGAUAUUAAUGAUAUUUCAUUUCGUAUCUGUUCACAGUGUGACAUAACAUUUUUAGAUCUCAUCGCUUCAUUAUUUUCAGGUACCUAAACCUCUCAUAAGGUUUCAUGAAGUGUUAUGUCAUAGGCUCUUCAAGAGCACAUUGCCUUCUUAUUAUGAUUAUUUGCUCCUUAUAAUUUUGAAGGAUUAUUUCAUUUGAAAUCGAUUGAUCUACCACGCUUCACGCAUGCAUAGAAUUUGCCCUUUAUGAACACAAAAUAAGAGCACUUGCAGCUUAAAUAUGAGAUGCGUUCGGAAUUCAACUUGAAUUAUCUUUUGAAUGCGGAUCUGAUGAUAAUUCCUAUCAUAUUUCAUAGUUGCUUAUAAUCUCCCCCUUAUGUUAGGAAAACUAACAUACAUCCUCCAUCUUCUUUGAGAAAUCCAUAUUUGUGCAUUAUGGUAUAUUCAUUAAUCGUAUACCGCACAUUAAAACUAUUAGAUGGGCAAUGUGUGGUUCCUAACUCAGAACCAACUUUGAGGGGGAAUUAAUCAUAAUUUAUUGGUUUGAUGUAUAUAAGUACUUUUGUAUAUAAUAUAUCAUAUUUCAAACCAAAACAUGAAGCUUUGUUCUUAUUGGCAAUGAUUUAGUUAUUUAUCGAAGGCAUUCAAUGUCAAACAACAUUAUCAAGAUGAAUUAUCUUGAUUACACAAUCUGGAAGUUAUGCUCUUAACUCAAUUUUAUUGAACAAGCAACUUUACGAAUGUCAAACUACAAAUUGACAAUAAACGUACAAGUGAUCAUCUUAUAUCGAUGCAUCUUAACAGAUCACAUGAUAGGUGUAUGGCCCCUUAAUUAUUCACCUUUUAUAUAGUUCUUAGAUUUUAAGAGAUUCAAUCCCAAUAUUAGUUGGUCCAACCAACUUAUCAUGAGAACAAACAACAUAAAUAAUUUUUGAAGAAUCUUCUAGUUCUUCAAUCCAUGUCUAAUACUCAACAUGCACAUCUUCGAGAUGUCACAAUCGUUCAUGUCAACUUAUGAACUUAUUUAUAGUAGUAAACCCCAAGUUUACCAUGACAUGUAUUUUUUUUUCUUUAGUAAAUUUCAGAUUUACUAUUACAUGAAUAAAUUUUUGAUUUACUAGUUUAGAAGUAGAUUUCAAAAUAACUAUUCUCAGUUAUUCUGCCUCUUUCGGAGGUGAGUUGUGAUAUCAUCACAAUCAAGUGCACGUUUGCAUUAAUAAGCUUCUCAUUCUCCAGGAAUAAAGUAUAAUCGUUCCUUAAGCCUAUCAAAUUCGGAUAGCUUAUAACCUCUUUCAUGAUAUAUUGCUACUUCAGGAGCACAUUGAGACAUACAUAUCUUUCAAAGUAUAUCAUAUAUUGCUACCACAUUCACUUCAAGAAUGGAGCAAAUUGUCAUCUUUCAGACUUGUCAUAUAAUGCUGGAAUAUUCAAUUAAUAGAAUGGAGCAUAUUUAAUGGACAAGUUUCAUGACUUUUUAUCAAAUACAUAUUAUUUUUUCCUUAGCCAUCAUAAUAUCAUUAAUAUGGUACAUUGAGAUUCAAACUCAACGUCUUAUCCAUAUAAAGACGUCUUAGGCAUAACUCGGUGGGAAUUGAACCCAACAUCUUAUCAUCAUGGUGCAUUGAAAACUUUUAACCCAAUGUCUUACCCUCUUAAUGAGAUGAGAUUUAAAUCCAUCAUCAUAUAUUUUAACAAUAUUGUUCUUUAUGAAUAAAUUUAAAGUAUAAGUGGUUCCAAAUCAAUUAUUUUUUUCUCAAAUCCAACAAUAAUUAGAUCAUUAAUAAAAAAAGAAAAAUAGCAUAAGGAAUUACUAACCUUAACAUUACCUUUAGAUUUAUAAUCUCACCUUAUUUGGUAGAAUCUCGUGCUGAUAACAUGUUAUGAAAUAUAAAGUAAGUACAAAAAGAAUAGAGAGAGAAGAGAGGAGACUUCUUCAUUUCUCAUGGAUUCUUGUGGAGUUAAUUACAAUGAAGAAAAACCCCUUUAUUUAUAGGGAAAAACUAACCUUCGGAUUUCUAAUUUUUUCAUAAAUAGAUAUUUACUAUAUAUGGUAAAGUAGACACUCACUAUAUAUAGUACUAUAUUUAUAACAUCACUAUAUAUAUAAUAGAAAAGAGAAAUCUAUAUUUUCAAACUAUCAUAAAUGAUACGUGUAUAUUCUCUGUUAUAUUUUGGGUACAUAUAUGUCACUGGCUUUAAUAAUUUAAGUUAGAAUAACUACAUAAUUACCCCACUGAUGUUGAUCGAGAUUUUCAAAAAGAUACCUAAACUUUGAAUUCGAUCUAUUACCUCACAAUUCUUACUUAAUCCGUUGUAAACAGGACAUUUUGAUCCUCUGUGUGUAUACAUGGCCACAGGCGCGUGAAAGGGCUCGAAUUUGACUUUUUUGACCAAUCAAAAGUUGUCACGUGUAAAAUAAUUGAUAUAUAAUUUAUAUUCUUUUUUUUUUAAAUAAUAUUUAUUUAUUUUAUAAAAUUAUCCCUACCCCUCUCCGCCCUCCCCUCCCAACCCACCCACUCUUUCUUCUUCAACUCAAUUCACCAUUAAAGCUUCAAGUUUCCAUUGAAGCUUUUUUUGUUUUUUAAAUCAUUCAUUAAAGCUCCAUUUUACAAUUAAAUCAUAUCAUUUAACUACCCACCAUUUCUUCUUCAACUCAAUGUCUUUUUCAACACCAUUAAAGCUCUUCAACACAAUGUCACUAUUAAAGCUUCUCCAUUGAAGGUUUUUUUUUUUAAAUUAUAUCAUUAAAGCUCCAUUUUCAGUUUGUUAAAUUAAAUAAAAAGGAAAAUUUUAUUUAAAAAAAUAUGAAAUUAAACGUAGUUGACACGUGUCAGCACCUGAUUGGCGUCUGUCUUCACUCACUUUGUUGUGACUGAGAUUCAGCACAAAAUGGUGUGUUUGCAACGAAAUAUAAAAGAAUCGUGGGGUAAUAGGUUGAUGUUAAAGUUUAGGUGUCUUUUUAAAAAUCUUGAAUAAGAUCAGUGGUGUAAUUAUGUAUUUACUCCACUGAUGUAGGCCGAGAUUUUUAAAAAGACACCUAAACUUUGAAUUCUACCUAUUACCCCACAAUUCUUACUUAAUCUGUUGCAAACACACCAUUUUGACCCUCUGCGUGUAUGCACGCGCCACAGGCGCGUGAAAGGGCUCGAAUUUGACCUUUUUGACCAAUCAAAAAUUUUCACGUGUAAAAUAAUUGAUAUAUAAUUUAUAUUCUUUUUUUAAAUAAUAUUUAUUUAUUUUAUAAAAUUAUCUCUACUCCUCUCAGCCCCUCCCCCCCGAUUCACCCACUCUUUUUUCUUCAACUCAAUUCACUAUUAAAGCUUCCAUUGAAGUUUUUUUUUUUUUUAAAAAAAAAUCAUUCAUUAAAGCUCCAUUUUGCAAUUAAAUCAUAUCAUUUAACUACCCACCAUUUCUUCUUCAACANNNNNNNNNNNNNNNNNNNNNNNNNNNNNNNNNNNNNNNNNNNNNNNNNNNNNNNNNNNNNNNNNNNNNNNNNNNNNNNNNNNNNNNNNNNNNNNNNNNNNNNNNNNNNNNNNNNNNNNNNNNNNNNNNNNNNNNNNNNNNNNNNNNNNNNNNNNNNNNNNNNNNNNNNNNNNNNNNNNNNNNNNNNNNNNNNNNNNNNNNNNNNNNNNNNNNNNNNNNNNNNNNNNNNNNNNNNNNNNNNNNNNNNNNNNNNNNNNNNNNNNNNNNNNNNNNNNNNNNNNNNNNNNNNNNNNNNNNNNNNNNNNNNNNNNNNNNNNNNNNNNNNNNNNNNNNNNNNNNNNNNNNNNNNNNNNNNNNNNNNNNNNNNNNNNNNNNNNNNNNNNNNNNNNNNNNNNNNNNNNNNNNNNNNNNNNNNNNNNNNNNNNNNNNNNNNNNNNNNNNNNNNNNNNNNNNNNNNNNNNNNNNNNNNNNNNNNNNNNNNNNNNNNNNNNNNNNNNNNNNNNNNNNNNNNNNNNNNNNNNNNNNNNNNNNNNNNNNNNNNNNNNNNNNNNNNNNNNNNNNNNNNNNNNNNNNNNNNNNNNNNNNNNNNNNNNNNNNNNNNNNNNNNNNNNNNNNNNNNNNNNNNNNNNNNNNNNNNNNNNNNNNNNNNNNNNNNNNNNNNNNNNNNNNNNNNNNNNNNNNNNNNNNNNNNNNNNNNNNNNNNNNNNNNNNNNNNNNNNNNNNNNNNNNNGGGGAAAAGGGGGUGGGUGGGGUGUUAAAUUAAAUAAAAAUGAAAUUUUUAUUAAAAAAAUAUGAAAUUAAACGUAGUUGACACGUGGUAGCAACUGAUUGGCGCGUGUCUUCACUCACUUUGUUAUGACUGAGAUUCAGCGCAAAAUGGUGUGUUUGCAACGAAAUAAAGAAGAAUCGUGGGGUAAUAGGUCGAUGUUAAAGUUUAGGUGUCUUUUUAAAAAUCUCGAACAAGAUUAGUGGUGUAAUUAUGUAUUUACUCUAAAAAAAAUAUAAAAUUAAACGUAGUUGACACAUGGCAGCACCUGAUUGGCGCGUGUCUUCACUCACUUUGUUGUGACUGAGAUUCAGCGCAAAAUGGUGUGUUUGCAACGAAAUAAAGAAGAAUUGUGGGGUAAUAGGUCGAUGUUAAAGUUUAGGUGUCUUUUUAAAAAUCUCGAACAAGAUUAGUGGUAUAAUUAUGUAUUUACUCUAAAAAAAAUAUAAAAUUAAACGUAGUUGACACAUGGCAGCACCUGAUUGGCGCGUGUCUUCACUCACUUUGUUGUGACUGAGAUUCAGCGCAAAAUGAUGUGUUUGCAACAAAAUAAAGAAGAAUCAUGUGGUAAUAAGUCGAUGUUAAAGUUUAGGUGUCUUUUUAAAAAUCUCGAACAAGAUCAGUGGUGUAAUUAUGUAUUUACUCUUUAAGUUAUAUAUAUCCUUUACUCUAACGGAGGGACACACAAUCGUAUGCGUUUACCCAUUUUUUAAUUCAUUUUACUUCAAAUAAAUUAAUUCACCCAAAAUAAAUCCAAUACCCGAAUAGAGAUUAUGUAUAUUUCUUCUCCAUCUACUAUCUUGCAUUUAAGGAAAAAUCCUUUUGGCCAUAAAAUGUGGCCAUAAUGACUCAAAAUUGAUAAUAAAGUUUAUUGACAUUGUAAGCAGAUUUAUAUUUUUACAUUCUUACCCUUUUCUCCCAAAUUUAUAUUUUCUUUCUUAUUUAUUCUUCUAGCUAUUUCCAACACAUGAGGAUUGAACAUAUAACUUGUUUACUUAUUUGUUUGUUGACUUUGCAUUUCAAAAUAAUAUCUAUACAAACAAAGAAGAAAAACGUUAAGUUAUUUCAUUUAUUUGAGUAAUUUUUUAAUUUAAAAUAAUAUUAAACUUAAAAAUAAUUUUAAAAUUGUUGAAUAGUUUUAAAAUGAUAUAUAAAUGAUUGAAUGGUAAUUUAAAAAUAAUUAUAAAUAAUUUUAUUUGUCUUUGUUGGACAGUUAUUCUAUUUGGCCACAUUUUUAGAAUGAGAAUUUAGAAUAUAAAAUAAUUUAAAAAAUUUAGAAAAGUAUUUUUUUUUCAAGUUUAUUGACAUUUUAUUUUUAUAAUUUAUUAAAAGAAAAAUAAAAUUACUUAAAAUUAUUUAAUUAGACAAGAUAAAUUAUUAAAAUUAUGUAAUUAGACAAGAUAAAUUAUUAAAAUUUCUAAUGAUACAAAUUCAUUUCAAGAAUUUAUUUCUCUGAGUUUUUAGCUAUUUAAAAUCUUGUUGUGUAUUCUUUUCAAAAAAUUUAAUCUAAAGGAUCAAGAAUGUAGUAAAUUCAACAAUGUUAGGACUGCUGCUUCAAUUAAGUUAAAAGAGAUAUCAAUAGAACAUGCCAACUAAAAAAUUUCAUAUUUUUCUAUAGGUAAUUGUUUUUAUUCUUGUAAUAUAGAACUUAAUACAUUUACUUUGAUUCUAUAAUUUGCUAAUCAUUAUAUAUAUUUGCCAUUAAUAUAACCUCUAAUAAGUAAUUUUACCAAUUAUUGAGUUUAAUUUUUUUUUUUAAAACGUAUUUAGAUAAUUAUUUAAAUAUAAUUGGAAAAUAUUCUCAAUGACAAUUAAAACUCAAAAUAGUUUAGACAUGAUAGAUAUCGAUUCAACAGAAAAAUUAUAAAAUACAUAUAGUUCAUAUAUGUCGACUCUAGUUAACAUUAACUUAGGAGAGUCACACAUUGAUGUUACAGUCUUGAACCCAUAUGUUACAUCAAUUUAAAAAAUUAUGAAUCAUUACUUAUGAUUAUUAUUAUAUAUAACCUCUAUUUAAAUAAUUUUAUCAAAUAUUAUAUUUAAAUAAAUUGAAAAUAGUUUUUAAAAUUUAAUGUAUAAACAAUUCAAUAAAAAUAGACAAAAUUCAAAAUAUUUUAGACAUUAACAAACUAUAAAAAUCAUAAAAUUAUAUAUAGUUCAUUUGUGUCGAUCCUAGUUAACAACAACAAAAGAGAGUCCAACGUUAAUGCGGUAGAGUUGUAUUACUAUGUCACGUCGAUUUGAUCAAGUAAAUCAUUAUUUAAAUCAUAUUCCUAUGUCAUGUGGUAGAAUUAUAUUAAUUAAUAUAUUUAUACAAAUUUAAAUUGUAUAUUUAAAUAAUUUUUAAUCUAAUUUGAAAAUAUUUUAAUAACAACAACAAAAACUCAAAACACUUUAGACAUGAUAAAUAUUGACACAUUAUAGUAAACAAUAAAAACGUAUAAUCUAAGAGAGUCAUAUGAUGAUAAAAACAUAUAAUCUGUAAGUGUCAACCCUAGUCAACAUCAAUCUAAAAGAGUCAUAUGAUGUUGUAACAAGUUGUCUAUUCCGAUUUAAUAACUUGUGAAUCGUUACUUACAUUGUUAUUAAUAUGAACUUUAAUUAAGUAUUUUAUUAAUUAUUAUUAAUAGAUUUAGAUAAUUUUUUUUUAAAAAAUUGAUAAUAUUUCAAUCGUCAAUUCAAAAGACUUUAGAAAUAAUAGACAUCGACACAUUAAACAUAAUUGGUAUAAACGUUUAUAAUUUUCAAUCAAACGCAAUUGGAAACAUAUUGUGAAAAUCGAAACAUAUUUUCAAACCGAUUUAAACAUAAUUUUUUUACUAAUUCUAAUUCUCAAGUAAAAAUUUUUCUCUAAUUCUAAUUCUUUAUUAAAAUAUUUUUCCUCCACACUUAAAUAUUUUUUCCAGUGAAACGUAUUUUCAGUAUUUGAAAACAUACAGUGGUAAAUACGUUUAGAAUUUGUCAAUUUUCACACAUACUCAUUAUUUGUUAAUUUAAGUAUAAUUUUACAAUUUUAAAACAUAAUCAUUAUUGUUAGAUACGUUUUCAAAUACAUUUAUAUACGUUUUCAAAUACAUUUACUUAGAUUGACAUUCUUAAUUAAUUUUAGUUAGUAUAAUUUUACACCUUUUCAAGUUUUAAAAAAAUAAUUAGAUAAAGAUCUCAAUAUUUCAGCAUGAUCUCAAUCAAUGCUUAUUCUUUCAUAGCAAGAAUUUUAUUUGAGACAGUAAAAGACAAUCAGUACUUAAAUUUGAACAUAACAUCCUUGACUCUAGCUACGACUGUUCAGAAUCGAAUCGAAAUCAAUAAUCUAUAAUGACAUUUUGAUUUGUGAACUAGUGAUUCGGCUUAUCGGAUUACCAAGUGUAAAGUAUGUGUGAUUUGUUGUGAUCGCAAUAUUUUACAAAUUAUAUAUAUAUAUAUAUAUAUAUAUAUAUAUAUAUAUAUGCUAAAUCUAAAAAACAUCUAUAUAUAUAUUAAUUUUAUUUAAGCGUAAUAAUAAAAAAAUAAUUUAUUAGAGAGAAUUUAGUAACAAAUAUAAGUAAUAAUUCACAAUUUAUCAAAUCAUCGUAAUAUAAGGGUGAAAGAGUCAUAUGAUUAACAGUUAUAUCUCUCGACAAAUGUGAACUAUAUGCAUAAUUUCUGUAAGUGUCAACGUUUAUCAGGUUUAAGGUAUGUUGAGUUGUCAUCAUUUUGAUAUCUUAUAAAUUAUGCUUGAGAAUUAUUUAAAUAUAUAUUUUAAUUUUAUUUAACCAUAUACUUAAAAAAAAUAAAGAAUUAGAGAUCAUUUUAGUAACAAGGAGAGAAAGUCGGAAAACAACAUGAGAAAAAAAUAGACAGUAAAUGUAGUGUUUGAGUUAUAGCAAAAAGUAAGUACGUUUUUGAAGAAAUAUACAUAUUUUCAUGGUAUAAGACUAUUGAUAUUCUUGCCUAAGAAUUUGUGUUGCAAUUAAUUUACAAUAUAGGGAGUAUACAUAUUUUAAUGCUUAAUUACCUCGACUUUAAAAAAAUAGAAAAAGAUUCCAAAAGACUACUCCCUCCGUCCCAUUUUAUUCGUUCUAAAUUGGGAUGACACAGCUAUUAAGAAAACAAUGAUUGGUAAUGUAACUUUAUCAUUUUGCCCCUCUUAAUUGUGUCUUGUUGUUAGUUCCACUAUUGAUGGAUGACUAAUAUCAAAACACCAUUCAUAUUUUUAAUGGUGUAUUUUUUAUGGUACUCUUCUUUGCAACAUUUUUCAAGAAUGCUAAUAAUAAGAAGUAAUCAAUUACACUAAAAGUAUAAUGGGAAAAAAAAUUUGUCUUAUCAAGAUAAGUAAAAUAGGACAAGUAAUACUGCCUACCACUAUUAGGGACAACUCGUGAAAUUAUUAGGCCUCUGCUGCCUUCUUCGUAUACCAAAUCAAUAUAACAAUUAUCUAAUUAGUAUAUCUAAUUACUAUAAAAAUGUAACUUACACACACAAAGUAUUUUUAAUUAACAAUUAACAUAAGUAUCUAACAUAUUCUAUCAACUUACAUAAGUAUGUAACAGUUAUUUAUUGUUACUAUUAGCUUUUACUAUGAAUUAGUUUAAAAGUUGAGAUUUUGAGUUUGUUUUUUGUUAACAUUAAUUUUGACUAUGGUUCGUUCAUAAAUAUUGAUAUCCGUGCUUUCAUUUUCUUCUAAUCUUUUCUAGGACUCUAAAGGAACUCGUUCUUUCUUGCUCCUUAUCCAUUGCCCUUUUUAUACUUCCUCCGUCUCAAAUUACACGUAACAAAUUUUCUAAUUUGAUUUCUCAUUUUACUUGUCUUUUUUCAUUAAUCAAGAAGAGACAACAUUUUUAUUUUUAUUUUUUCAUAUUUUAACCUUUGAAUUAGUUACUUUUUCUUCAAAUUAAAAUGUAAACAUCAUUUAAUAGGGGUACAAUGAUAAACUAGACAUAUUAUUAAAUAUUUUUCUUAAUCAAUGUACCAUCUUAAUUUGAAGGGGUAAUUUGGGAUGGAGGGAAUAGUAUAUAUCUUAAUGUUUAUUUGCUACAGAUCAUAAAAUUUUAUAUAGAGUUACCUUUUUAAAAUGUUGUUGUGGUGAUUAUAAUCGAUUUAGUUAAAUACAUUUGUCUUAAGAUAAAAAACAAUAACAUUUAGAAUGGAGAUACCGAUUAACAAUAGGUACAGAAAUUGUUAUUAUUUAAACUAGUUCAAGAUUCUCAAUACUUGCACAAGUUGAAAGAAAAAAAAAGUAUAUCUAUUUUUCAUUCUCAUUUGCAAGUAAAAAUGUUUUUCAUCUUUACAGUGAACAUAAAUGUAUGCUUUGAGAGAUGUGGUGUUACCUAGUUGAACUAAAGUAAUGAGCCUGCCCA
rnacentral:lncRNA from 1 species